rnacentral:rRNA from 1 species
UUGUCGUCAGCUCGUGUCGUGAGAUGUUGGGUUAAGUCCGCAACGAGCGCAACCCUCGACCUUAGUUGCCAGCAUUCAGUUGGGCACUCUAAGGUGACUGCCGGCUAAAAAGUCGGAGGAAGGUGGGGAUGACGUCAAAUCAUCAUGCCCCUUAUGACCUGGGCUACACACGUGCUACAAUGGGCGGUACAAAGGGUCGCGAACCCGCGAGGGGGAGCCAAUCCCAAAAAGCCGCUCUCAGUUCGGAUUGCAGGCUGCAACUCGCCUGCAUGAAGCCGGAAUCGCUAGUAAUCGCGGAUCAGCAUGCCGCGGUGAAUACGUUCCCGGGCCUU